rnacentral:misc_RNA from 1 species
UCCGGUUUGACACCGGCAGUCUCCCUAGAGUGCCCGGCAUAACCCGCUGGUAACUAGGGACGAGGGUUGCGCUCGUUGCGGGACUUAACCCAACAUCUCACGACACGAGCUGACGACAGCCAUGCAGCACCUGUCACUGGUCCAGCCUAACUGAAAGGAGGCAUCUCUGCCUCCCCCGACCAGGAUGUCAAAGGGUGGUAAGGUUCUUCGCGUUGCUUCGAAUUAAACAACAUGCUCCACCGCUUGUGCGGGUCCCCGUCAAUUCCUUUGAGUUUUAAUCUUGCGACCGUACUCCCCAGGCGGUGUGUUUAACGAUUUCUCUCCGUCACCGAGGCCUUAAGACCCCAACAACUAACACACAUCGUUUACAGUGUGGACUAC